AACGAACGCUGGCGGCAUGCCUAACACAUGCAAGUCGAACGAGACCUCCGGGUCUAGUGGCGCACGGGUGCGUAACGCGUGGGAACCUGCCCUUAGGUUCGGAAUAACUCCCCGAAAGGGGUGCUAAUACCGGAUAAUGUCUUCGGACCAAAGAUUUAUCGCCUUUGGAUGGGCCCGCGUUGGAUUAGCUAGUUGGUAGGGUAAAAGCCUACCAAGGCGACGAUCCAUAGCUGGUCUGAGAGGAUGCUCCGCCACACUGGGACUGAGACACGGCCCAGACUCCUACGGGAGGCAGCAGUGGGGAAUAUUGGACGAUGGGCGAAAGCCUGAUCCAGCAAUGCCGCGUGAGUGAUGAAGGCCUUAGGGUUGUAAAGCUCUUUUACCCGAGAUGAUAAUGACGGUACCGGGUGAAUAAGCACCGGCUAACUACGUG
rnacentral:rRNA from 1 species